rnacentral:rRNA from 1 species
AUUGAACGCUGGCGGCAUGCUUUACACAUGCAAGUCGAACGGUAACAGGCCUUCGGGUGCUGACGAGUGGCUAACGGGUGAGUAAUGCAUCGGAACGUACCCAGAGGUGGGGGAUAACGCAGCGAAAGCUGUGCUAAUACCGCAUGUGAUCUGAGGAUGAAAGCGGGGGACCGAGCAGCAAUGUUUGGCCUCGCGCCUUUGGAGCGGCCGAUGUCGGAGUAGCUAGUUGGUGGGGUAAAGGCCUACCAAGGCGACGAUCCGUAGCUGGUCUGAGAGGACGACCAGCCACACUGGGACUGAGACACGGCCCAGACUCCUACGGGAGGCAGCAGUGGGGAAUUUUGGACAAAGGGCGCAAGCCUGAUCCAGCAAUGCCGCGUGCGGGAAGAAGGCCUUCGGGUUGUAAACCGCUUUUGGCAGGAACGAAACGGUGUCCGCUAAUACCGGGCGCUAAUGACGGUACCUGCAGAAUAAGCACCGGCUAACUACGUG